rnacentral:pre_miRNA from 1 species
AGGCAGUGUAGUUAGCUGAUUGUACCCAGCGCCCCACAAUCACUAAAUUCACUGCCAUC